UACGAAGGGGGCUAGCGUUGCUCGGAAUCACUGGGCGUAAAGCGCACGUAGGCGGAUCUUUAAGUCAGGGGUGAAAUCCUGGAGCUCAACUCCAGAACUGCCUUUGAUACUGGGGAUCUCGAGUCCGGGAGAGGUGAGUGGAACUGCGAGUGUAGGGGUGAAAUUCGUAGAUAUUCGCAAGAACACCAGUGGCGAAGGCGGCUCACUGGCCCGGUACUGACGCUGAGGUGCGAAAGCGUGGGGAGCAAACAGG
rnacentral:rRNA from 1 species